UUAGAUGCGAGAGUAGAGCAUAUCAAUAAGCGGAGGAAAAGAAACUAACAAGGAUUCCCCUAGUAACGGCGAGUGAAGCGGGAAGAGCUCAAAUUUGAAAUCUUAAAGGGUUUCCCUUUACGAAUUGUAGUUUAAAGAAGUGUUUUCUGUUGGAGUUUCGGUAAAAGUUCUUUGGAAUAGGACAUCAUAGAGGGUGAGAAUCCCGUAUUUGACCGUUACUUUCCAGCUGUGUGAUACACUUUCAAAGAGUCGGAUUGUUUGGGAAUGCAGUCCAAAAUGGGUGGUAAAUUUCAUCUAAAGCUAAAUAUUGGCGAGAGACCGAUAGCGAACAAGUACCGUGAGGGAAAGAUGAAAAGAACUUUGAAAAGAGAGUUAAACAGUACGUGAAAUUGUCAAAAGGGAAGCGUUUGACACCAGUGUUGUUUAGUUGAAAAUCAAUUCAAUAAUUUUUGAUUCUAAGUAGUAUUGACUUCAUCAGCUUGCUGCUCUCUUUUCAGGAACUUUCUUGAAUGCACUUUUCAGUUAACAAGUCAACAUCAAUUUCUUUUGCUGUAAAAGGGUAAGAGGAAGGUGGCUUACGCUUCGGCGUAAGUGUUUAUAGCCUUUUACCUCUGCAAUCGGAGAGAUUGAGGACAGCAGCGUAGACUCUUCGGGGUUAGAUACACUUGUGCUAAGCUAUAGCCUUGUAUAGACAACUUGUUGACUAUGCUCAGUCAUGUAGCUUACUCGCUUGUGCUAUUUUACCUACGCUUAGGAUGUUGACACACGCGCGUGCUCG
rnacentral:rRNA from 1 species